GCAUAUCAAUAAGCGGAGGAAAAGAAACCAACCGGGAUUACCUCAGUAACGGCGAGUGAAGCGGUAACAGCUCAAAUUUGAAAUCUGGCUCCUUCGGAGUCCGAGUUGUAAUUUGUAGAAGAUGCUUUGGGUUGUGGGUUCGGCCUAAGUUCCUUGGAACAGGACGUCAUAGAGGGUGAGAAUCCCGUAUGUGGCCGAGGCCUGCGCCUAUGUAAAGCUCUUUCGACGAGUCGAGUUGUUUGGGAAUGCAGCUCAAAAUGGGUGGUAAAUUUCAUCUAAAGCUAAAUAUGGGCCAGAGACCGAUAGCGCACAAGUAGAGUGAUCGAAAGAUGAAAAGCACUUUGGAAAGAGAGUUAAACAGUACGUGAAAUUGUUGAAAGGGAAGCGCUUGCAACCAGACUUGGGCGCUGCCGAUCACCCCGAGUUCUCUCAGGUGCACUCGACAGCGCACAGGCCAGCAUCGGUUCGGAUGGUUGGAUAAAGGCCGUAGGAACGUAGCUCCCUUCGGGGAGUGUUAUAGCCUACGGUGCCAUGCAGCCCAACCGGACCGAGGACCGCGCCUUCGGGCUAGGAUGCUGGCGUAAUGGUUGUAAGCGACCCGUCUUGAAACACGGACC
rnacentral:rRNA from 1 species